rnacentral:rRNA from 1 species
UACAGAGGGUGCAAGCGUUGUUCGGAAUUAUUGGGCGUAAAGGGCGCGUAGGCGGUGCGGUAAGUCUGUAGUGAAAUCUCUGGGCUCAACUCAGAGUCUGCUGCAGAAACUGCCGUGCUUGAGUGUGGGAGAGGUGAGUGGAAUUCCCGGUGUAGCGGUGAAAUGCGUAGAUAUCGGGGAGGAACACCUGUGGCGAAAAGCGGCUCACUGGACCACAACUGACGCUGAGGCGCGAAAGCUAGGGGGAGCAAACAGG